UACGAAGGGGGCUAGCGUUGCUCGGAAUUACUGGGCGUAAAGCGCGCGCAGGCGGUCCUUUAAGUCAGGGGUGAAAGCCCAGAGCUCAACUCUGGAACUGCCUUUGAAACUAGAGGACUUGGGUACGGGAGAGGUGAGUGGAAUUCCGAGUGUAGAGGUGAAAUUCGUAGAUAUUCGGAAGAACACCAGUGGCGAAGGCGGCUCACUGGCCCGUUACCGACGCUCAGGCGCGACAGCGUGGGGAGCAAACAGG
rnacentral:rRNA from 1 species